GUGGGGAAUUUUGGACAAUGGGCGAAAGCCUGAUCCAGCCAUGCCGCGUGCAGGAUGAAGGCCUUCGGGUUGUAAACUGCUUUUGUACGGAACGAAACGGUCCGGGUUAAUACCCUGGGCUAAUGACGGUACCGUAAGAAUAAGCACCGGCUAACUACGUGCCAGCAGCCGCGGUAAUACGUAGGGUGCAAGCGUUAAUCGGAAUUACUGGGCGUAAAGCGCGCGUAGGUGGUUUUGUAAGUUGGAGGUGAAAUCCCCGGACUCAACCUGGGAACUGCCUCCAAAACUGCAUGACUAGAGUACGGUAGAGGGUAGUGGAAUUUCCUGUGUAGCGGUGAAAUGCGUAGAUAUAGGAAGGAACACCAGUGGCGAAGGCGACUACCUGGACUGAUACUGACACUGAGGUGCGAAAGCGUGGGGAGCAAACAGGAUCAGAUACCCCUGUAGUCC
rnacentral:rRNA from 1 species